rnacentral:rRNA from 1 species
AAAAUUAAUGCUAAGUGAUAAAGGAGGUGGGAUUGCCCAGACAACCAGGAGGUUUGCCUAGAAGCAGCCAUCCUCAAAGGAGUGCGUAAUAGCUCACUGGUCGAGCGAUCCUGCGCCGAAAAUGAAUGGGGCUAAGCAUUAUACCGAAGCUGCGGAUAAAUUUAUUUAUGGUAGGGGAGCGUUCUAUGUUGGGUGAAGCGUUAGCGAAAGCGGGCGUGGACGGCAUAGAAGUGAGAAUGUCGGCUUGAGUAGCGAAAACAUGGGUGAGAAUCCCAUGUUUUGAAAUUUUAAGGGUUCCUCCGGCAGGCUCGUCUGCGGAGGGUUAGUCUGGACCUAAGGUCAGGCCGAAAGGCGUAGUCGAUGGAUAACAGGUCAAUAUUCCUGUACCAGAUGUGUUUUGGGAAGGGGGACGGAGAAGGCUAGCCAAGCCAGAUGUUGGUUACUGGUUCAAGCGUUCGAGGCUUUGAGAGAUGGAGAAAACAUCUUGAGCUAAGGCGUGAGUACGAGCUGCUACGGCAGCGAAGUUGGUGAUGUCAUGCUUCCAAGAAAAGCCCUAUACCCGUUAAGACACAUAUGCCAGUACCCGAAACCGACACAGGUGGGGUGGUAGAGAAUACCGAGGGGCGCGAGAUAACUCUCUCUAAGGAACUCGGCAAAAUGACCCCGUAACUUCGGGAGAAGGGGUGCCAGCGAGAGCUGGUCGCAGUGAAGAGGCGCAAGCGACUGUUUACCAAAAACACAGGUCUCCGCUAAGUCGUAAGACGAUGUAUGGGGGCUGACACCUGCCCAGUGCCGGAAGGUUAAGGAAGCUGGUUAGCUUUUAGCAAAGCUGGCGACUGAAGCCCCGGUGAACGGCGGCCGUAACUAUAACGGUCCUAAGGUAGCGAAAUUCCUUGUCGGGUAAGUUCCGACCCGCACGAAAGGUGUAACGAUUUGCGCGCUGUCUCGGAGAGAGGCUCGGCGAAAUAGAAUUGUCUGUGAAGAUGCGGACUACAUACACCCGGACAGAAAGACCCUAUGAAGCUUUACUGUAGUUUGAUAUUGUGCUCGGGCUCUAAUUGCGCAGAAUAGGUGGGAGACGUUGAAAUAGUGCUUGUGGGUAUUAUUGAGUCACCGGUGAGAUACCACUCUAUUAGAGCUAGGGUUCUAACGCUUACCCGUUAUCCGGGAAGCGGACAGUAUCUGAUGGGCAGUUUGACUGGGGCGGUCGCCUCCUAAAAGGUAACGGAGGCGCACAAAGGUUCCCUCAGGCUGGUUGGAAAUCAGUUGUUGAGUGCAAAAGCAGAAGGGAGCUUGACUGUGAGACCUACAAGUCGAACAGGGACGAAAGUCGGUUUUAGUGAUCCGACGGUUCUGCGUGGAAGGGCCGUCGCUCAACGGAUAAAAGUUACUCUAGGGAUAACAGGCUGAUCUCUUUUAAGAGUUCACAUCGACGGGGAGGUUUGGCACCUCGAUGUCGGCUCAUCGCAACCUGGGGCUGAAGUCGGUCCCAAGGGUUGGGCUGUUCGCCCAUUAAAGCGGUACGCGAGCUGGGUUCAGAACGUCGUGAGACAGUUCGGUCCAUAUCCGGUGUAUGCGCAGGAAUAUUGAGAGGAUUUCUCCCUAGUACGAGAGGACCGGGAGGAACGCACCUCUGGUGUACCAGUUAUCGUGCCAACGGUAAACGCUGGGUAGCCAUGUGCGGAGUGGAUAACCGCUGAAAGCAUCUAAGUGGGAAGCCCACCUCAAGAUGAGUAUUGCCAUGGCUUAAGCCAGUAAGGUCACGGGAAGAACACCCGUUGAUAGGCUCUACGUCGAAGCUUGGUAACAAGUGCAGCGGAGGAGUACUAAUAGACCGAGGGCUUGACCA